AACGCACAUUGCGCCCGCCAGUAUUCUGGCGGGCAUGCCUGUCUGAGCGUCAGUUCAACCCUCGCAACCGGCUUUGCUGGAUGUGGUGUUGGGGAUCGGCUGCCUUCUAGGUGGCCGGCCCCGAAAUAGAGUGGCGGUCUCGUCGUGGCCUCCUCUGCGUAGUAGCAAUAUCUCGCAGGCGGAGAGCGGCGUGGCUAUGCCGUAAAACACCCAACUCUUCUAAGGUUGACCUCAGAUCAGGUAGGAAUACCCGCUGAACUUAA
rnacentral:misc_RNA from 1 species